GAUGAACGCUGGCGGCGUGCCUAAUACAUGCAAGUCGAGCGGACGGACGAGAAGCUUGCUUCUCUGAUGUUAGCGGCGGGCGGGUGAGUAACACGUGGAUCACCUACCUAUAAGACUGGGAUAACUUCGGGAAACCGGAGCUAAUACCGGAUAAUAUUUUGAACCGCAUGGUUCAAAAGUUAAAUACGGUCUUGCUGUCACUUAUAGAUGGAUCCGCGCUGCAUUAGAUAGUUGGUAAGGUAACGGCUUACCAAGGCAACGAUGCAUAGCCGACCUGAGAGAGUGAUAGGCCACACUGGAACUGAGACACGGUCCAGAGUCCUACGGGAGGCAGCAGUAGGGAACGUUCCGCAAUGGGCGAAAGCAUGACGGAGCACCGCCGCGUGAGUGAUGAAGGCCUUCGGAUCGUAAAACCCUGUUAUUAGGGAAGAACAUAUGUGUAAGUAACUGUGGCCAUCUUGACGGUAACUAAUCAGAAAGCCACGGCUAACUACGUG
rnacentral:rRNA from 1 species